AUUGAACGCUGGCGGCAGGCCUAACACAUGCAAGUCGAGCGGAUGAAGGGAGCUUGCUCCUGGAUUCAGCGGCGGACGGGUGAGUAAUGCCUAGGAAUCUGCCUGGUAGUGGGGGAUAACGUCCGGAAACGGGCGCUAAUACCGCAUACGUCCUGAGGGAGAAAGUGGGGGAUCUUCGGACCUCACGCUAUCAGAUGAGCCUAGGUCGGAUUAGCUAGUUGGUGGGGUAAAGGCCUACCAAGGCGACGAACCGUAACUGGUCUGAGAGGAUGAUCAGUCACACUGGAACUGAGACACGGUCCAGACUCCUACGGGAGGCAGCAGUGGGGAAUAUUGGACAAUGGGCGAAAGCUUGAUCCAGCCAUGCCGCGUGUGUGAAGAAGGUCUUCGGAUUGUAAAGCACUUUAAGUUGGGAGGAAGGGCAGUAAGUUAAUACCUUGCUGUUUUGACGUUACCAACAGAAUAAGCACCGGCUAACUUCGUG
rnacentral:rRNA from 1 species